AUCUACGGUCAUACCACCCUGAACGUGCCCAGUCUUGUUCGAUCUUGGAAACCAAGCAGGGUGGGGCCUGGUUAGUGCUUGGAUGGGAGAUCGCCAGGGAACACUGGAUGCUGUAGGCU
rnacentral:rRNA from 1 species